rnacentral:rRNA from 1 species
AGAGUUUGAUCCUGGCUCAGGAUGAACGCUAGCGGCAGGCCUAACACAUGCAAGUCGAGGGAGAAGCCUUCGGGCUGAAACCGGCGCACGGGUGCGUAACGCGUAUACAAUCUGCCUUUCACAUAGGGAUAGCCCGAAGAAAUUUGGAUUAAUACCUAAUGGUAUAUAAGAGCGGCAUCGUUUUUAUAUUAAAGCUACGGUGGUGAAAGAUGAGUAUGCGUUCUAUUAGCUAGUUGGAGAGGUAACGGCUCCCCAAGGCGACGAUAGAUAGGGGUUCUGAGAGGGAUGUCCCCCACACUGGUACUGAGAUACGGACCAGACUCCUACGGGAGGCAGCAGUGAGGAAUAUUGGACAAUGGUCGGAAGACUGAUCCAGCCAUGCCGCGUGCAGGAUGAAGGUCCUAUGGAUUGUAAACUGCUUUUGUAAGGGAAGAAUAAGGAGUACGUGUACUUUGAUGACGGUACCUUACGAAUAAGCAUCGGCUAACUCCGUGCCAGCAGCCGCGGUAAUACGGAGGAUGCGAGCGUUAUCCGGAAUCAUUGGGUUUAAAGGGUCUGUAGGCGGGCUGGUAAGUCAGAGGUGAAAGCGCUUAGCUCAACUAAGCAACUGCCUUUGAAACUGCUGGUCUUGAAUGGUUGUGAAGUAGUUGGAAUGUGUAGUGUAGCGGUGAAAUGCUUAGAUAUUACACAGAACACCGAUAGCGAAGGCAUAUUACUAACAAUUUAUUGACGCUGAUGGACGAAAGCGUGGGGAGCGAACAGGAUUAGAUACCCUGGUAGUCCACGCU